rnacentral:rRNA from 1 species
UACGAAGGGGGCUAGCGUUGUUCGGAUUUACUGGGCGUAAAGCGCACGUAGGCGGAUCUUUAAGUCAGAGGUGAAAUCCCAAGGCUCAACCUUGGAACUGCCUUCGAUACUGGCGAUCUCGAGUUCGGGAGAGGUGAGUGGAACUGCGAGUGUAGAGGUGAAAUUCGUAGAUAUUCGCAAGAACACCAGUGGCGAAGGCGGCUCACUGGCCCGAUACUGACGCUGACGGUGCGAAAGCGAGGGGAG